GAAGUUGGCCGGAUAAUCGCUGUCAGUUUUUAACUGGGGGAGGAAAGUCCGGGCUUCAUAGGGCAGGGUGCCAGGUAACCCCUGGGCGGUGUGAACCGACGACCAGUGCAACAGAGAGCAAACCGCCGAUGGCCCGCGCAAGCGGGAUCAGGUAAGGGUGAAAGGGUGCGGUAAGAGCGCACCGCGCGGCUGGCAACAGUCCGUGGCACGGUAAACUCCACCCGAAGCAAGACCAAAUAGGAAUCCUGAGGUACGGCCCGUACUGGAUUCGGGUAGGUCGCGUGAGGUGUGUGGCGACGCACAUCCAAGAUGAAUGAUUAUCCAAGACAGAACCCGGCUUACAGGCCAACUUCGCAU
rnacentral:RNase_P_RNA from 1 species